rnacentral:rRNA from 1 species
GACGUAGGAGGCGAGCGUUGUCCGGAUUCAUUGGGCGUAAAGAGCACGCAGGCGGUUUGGCAAGUCGGAUGUGAAAACCCGAAGCUCAACUUCGGGCCUGCAUCCGAAACUGCCCGACUAGAGGUAGGUAGGGGAGAUCGGAAUUCCUGGUGUAGCGGUGAAAUGCGUAGAUAUCUGGAGGAAUACCGGUGGCGAAGGCGGCAUCCUGGACCAUUACUGACGCUGAGGCGCGAAAGCUAGGGGAGCAAACGGG